CCUACGGGAGACAGCAGUGGGGAAUAUUGCGCAAUGGGCGAAAGCCUGACGCAGCGACGCCGCGUGAGGGAUGAAGGUCUUCGGAUCGUUAACCUCUGUCAGCAGGGAAGAACGGUCACUGUGCUAAUCAGCAGUGAAUUGACGGUACCUGCAAAGGAAGCACCGGCUAACUCCGUGCCAGCAGCCGCGGUAAUACGGAGGGUGCGAGCGUUAAUCGGAAUUACUGGGCGGAAAGCGCUCGUAGGCGGUAUGUCAAGUCAAGGGUGAAAUCCCCGCGCUCAACGUGGGAACUGCCUUUGAAACUGGCAAACUGGAGUGUGUGAGAGGAUAGUGGAAUUCCAGGUGUAGGAGUGAAAUCCGUAGAUAUCUGGAGGAACAUCAGUGGCGAAGGCGACUAUCUGGCACAUAACUGACGCUGAGGAGCGAAAGCGUGGGUAGCAAACAGGAUUAGAUACCCCAGUAGUC
rnacentral:rRNA from 1 species